GACGGAGGGUGCUAGCGUUGUUCGGAAUGACUGGGCGUAAAGGGCGCGUAGGCGGCCGGUUGCGUCGGAUGUGAAAGCCCGGGGCUCAACCCCGGAACGGCAUCCGAUACGGGCUGGCUUGAGACCGAGAGAGGUGAGUGGAAUACCCAGUGUAGCGGUGAAAUGCGUAGAUAUUGGGAGGAACACCAGUGGCGAAGGCGGCUCACUGGACCGGUACUGACGCUGAGGCGCGAAAGCGUGGGGAGCAAACAGG
rnacentral:rRNA from 1 species